rnacentral:rRNA from 1 species
CCUACGGGAGACAGCAGUGAGGAAUAUUGGUCAAUGGGCGCGAGCCUGAACCAGCCAAGUCGCGUGAGGGAGGACGGCCCUACGGGUUGUAAACCUCUUUUGCCGGGGAGCAACGGGCGCCACGUGUGGCGUCACUGAGAGUACCCGGAGAAAAAGCAUCGGCUAACUCCGUGCCAGCAGCCGCGGUAAUACGGAGGAUGCGAGGGUUAUCCGGAUUUAUUGGGUUUAAAGGGUGCGUAGGCGGAUCGUUAAGUCAGUGGGCAAGUUGAGGGGCUCAACCCUUUCCCGCCAUUGAAACUGGCGUUCUUGAGUGGAAGAGAAGUAUGCGGAAUGCGUGGUGUAGCGGUGAAAUGCAUAGAUAUCACGAAGAACCCCGAUUGCGAAGGCAGCAUGCCGGCUUCCGACUGACGCUGAAGCACGAAAGCGUGGGGAUCGAACAGGAUUAGAUACCCGAGUAGUC